rnacentral:lncRNA from 1 species
GGCAUUCGUUGCAAUGAUUCAGAUAUAUAGCUUUUCUUGAAAUUGGCUCAAUGUUCGCUGUAAACGUAAUCCAUUUUUGUUGAGUGUAUGUGUAAAUAUCAACACAGAGAAAAUCUGCAGAAGCUUGUAUUUCCAACUCUGUUGCCCAAGAUCCAACAUAAUUCAUUUUUGAGUCCUGGAGAUAUUGCUCCACAGAAUCAAAUUGCCGUCUUAGACAAGUAAUGUAAUUAAGUGGAUUAUUUGAGAUGUGAUUCACUACAGCCUUUCGAAAGGCCUUGUGAUGUGACUCGCAACCACUCAAUACAGACGAAAGAGAACGAAAGAAACAAUUACCGUCACCUUCAAUGGAUGUUGUUUGGCAUGGCUCAGGCUGUGCCAUAUCGAAGUUCUGUACAAGAAUAUUUGGAUCGAGGCUUGGUACGAUAUUCAGUUUGAUGCAGAUCCUGUUUUUUUCCCUUAAUGUCAAUCCAGUAAAUAUUAUAUUGGGGCUAUCUGUUACAGAAAUUAAACAGACAUCUGAUGCACCCUCUGUGUGAAUUGGAGGAUCACUGUCAAUGUUUACAGUUGUGUCACAUGUAGAAGUGUUUGCCACAGGCUGCACAGUUUCAAGGGAAAAAGACGUGUUUACUGCAAGGGAAUUUCUAUCUGUUACAGAAAGGACACAGAGAUCAGAGUCACUGUCAGUGUCCAAAGUACCGUCAUGUGCCGAAGUGCUGGCUUCAGGCUGUGCAGUUAAAGCAGUAAAUGAAGCUGGUCUCAUUGGCUGUUGGUUUAUCAGCCUGGGCCAUCACAACUUUUGGUCCCCAAGGUGUUGGCUCCUCUUGUUUUCUCUGUCCAGAGACAACCCGAGCAGUUGGCUGGUUCACCUUCUACAAUGAGAAACGGCCACUCAUCAACACACAGAGUCUUGUCAUCCCCCUCCGGUUGAGCAAACUGCAAAGACAUAGCACAAAGACGCUGCCCUCCAGAGUGGCUGGCACAGCAGCUUCUGGAACAGGUCGAGGAGGAGGUACGCCCUCCAGAGUAGCUGGUACAGCAGCUUCUGGAACAGGUCGAGGGGGAGGUACCAGCUUCGAAGGUUUGGCAAUCCUUGCUGGAGUUUGA